AUUGAACGCUGGCGGCAGGCCUAACACAUGCAAGUCGAACGAGUGGCGGACGGGUGAGUAAUGUCUGGGCAACUGCCCGAUGGAGGGGGAUAACUACUGGAAACGGUAGCUAAUACCGCAUACCAUCGGAUGUGCCCAGAUGGGAUUAGCUCGUAGGUGGGUUAACGGCUCACCUAGGCGACGAUCCCUAGCUGGUCUGAGAGGAUGACCAGCCACACUGGAACUGAGACCCGGUCCAGACUCCUACGGGAGGCAGCAGUGGGGAAUAUUGCACAAUGGGCGAAAGCCUGAUGCAGCCAUGCCGCGUGUAUGAAGAAGGCCUUCGGGUUGUAAAGUACUUUCAGUGGGGAGGCGUUACUCGCAGAAGAAGCACCGGCUAACUCCGUGCCAGCCGCCGCGGUAAUAC
rnacentral:rRNA from 1 species